rnacentral:rRNA from 1 species
UACGUAGGCAGCGAGCGUUGUUCGGAGUUACUGGGCGUAAAGCGUGCGUAGGCGGUUGUCUAAGUUUGGUGUGAAAUCUCCUGGCUUAACUGGGAGGGUGCGCCGAAAACUGGGUGACUGGAGUGUCGGAGAGGUAAGCGGAAUUCCUGGUGUAGCGGUGAAAUGCGUAGAGAUCAGGAGGAACACCUGUGGUGUAGACAGCUUACUGGACGAUAACUGACGCUGAGGCACGAAAGCUAGGGGAGCAAACAGG